rnacentral:rRNA from 1 species
UACGAAGGGGGCUAGCGUUGUUCGGAAUCACUGGGCGUAAAGCGCACGUAGGCGGAUCUUUAAGUCAGGGGUGAAAUCCCGAGGCUCAACCUCGGAACUGCCUUUGAUACUGGGGAUCUCGAGUCCGGGAGAGGUGAGUGGAACUGCGAGUGUAGAGGUGAAAUUCGUAGAUAUUCGGAAGAACACCAGUGGCGAAGGCGGACUCACUGGACUGGUAUUGACGCUGAGGUGCGAAAGCGUGGGGAGCAAACAGGG